rnacentral:lncRNA from 1 species
AAAAAUCCAUUUUAUUUUAUUUUAGUGAAGAGAUAAAAUAAAUGAAAGACAGGGAUCACAAAUUUGAGUGCGAAAUAUGGUGAUUUUCAUUAAUUGAUAAAAAAGGGAAAUUUAACGGAGGCCCUACAAAUGAUUCCCCCAUGCCUUGGGCAAAACAUGGGUUCUUUUAUUUUUUUAAGGGACAAAUAAAGCAAAGAAAUUA